rnacentral:rRNA from 1 species
UACGUAGGGGGCGUAGCGUUGUCCGGAAUCAUUGGGCGUAAAGCGCGCGUAGGCGGCCCAGUAAGUCCGUUGUAAAAGUCAAAGGCUCAACCUUUGAAAGCCGAUGGAUACUGCUGGGCUAGAGUCCGGAAGAGGCGAGUGGAAUUCCUGGUGUAGCGGUGGAAUGCGCAGAUAUCAGGAGGAACACCGAUAGCGAAGGCAGCUCGCUGGGACGGUACUGACGCUGAGGCGCGAAAGCGUGGGGAGCGAACAGG